rnacentral:rRNA from 1 species
UGAUCCUGGCUCAGGAUGAACGCUAGCGGCAGGCUUAACACAUGCAAGUCGAGGGGUAACAUUGUGGCUUGCUACAGAUGACGACCGGCGCACGGGUGCGUAACGCGUAUAGAACUUACCUUUUACAGAGGGAUAGCCUUUAGAAAUGAAGAUUAAUACCUCAUAGUAUUAUUGAUUGGCAUCAAUUAAUAAUUAAAGAUUUAUCGGUAAAAGAUGGCUAUGCGUCCUAUUAGCUAGAUGGUAAGGUAAUGGCUUACCAUGGCUACGAUAGGUAGGGGCCCUGAGAGGGGGAUCCCCCACACUGGUACUGAGACACGGACCAGACUCCUACGGGAGGCAGCAGUGAGGAAUAUUGGGCAAUGGAGGUAACUCUGACCCAGCCAUGCCGCGUGCAGGAAGACUGCCCUAUGGGUUGUAAACUGCUUUUAUACAGGAAGAAACACUCGUACGUGUACGAGCUUGACGGUACUGUAAGAAUAAGGACCGGCUAACUCCGUGCCAGCAGCCGCGGUAAUACGGAGGGUCCGAGCGUUAUCCGGAAUCAUUGGGUUUAAAGGGUCCGCAGGCGGUCAAUUAAGUCAGAGGUGAAAUCCCAUAGCUUAACUAUGGAACUGCCUUUGAUACUGGUUGACUUGAGUCAUAUGGAAGUAGAUAGAAUGUGUAGUGUAGCGGUGAAAUGCAUAGAUAUUACACAGAAUACCGAUUGCGAAGGCAGUCUACUACGUAUGUACUGACGCUCAUGGACGAAAGCGUGGGGAGCGAACAGGAUUAGAUACCCUGGUAGU